rnacentral:rRNA from 1 species
UACGGAGGGUGCAAGCGUUAUCCGGAAUCAUUGGGUUUAAAGGGUCCGUAGGCGGGCUUAUAAGUCAGUGGUGAAAGUCUGUGGCUCAACCAUAGAACUGCCAUUGAUACUGUAGGUCUUGAAUCGUUGUGAAGUGGUUAGAAUAUGUAGUGUAGCGGUGAAAUGCUUAGAUAUUACAUAGAAUACCGAUUGCGAAGGCAGAUCACUAACAACGUAUUGACGCUGAUGGACGAAAGCGUAGGUAGCGAACAGG